rnacentral:rRNA from 1 species
UACGGGGGGAGCAAGCGUUGUUCGGAAUUACUGGGCGUAAAGGGCGCGUAGGCGGCCUUCUAAGUCAGACGUGAAAUCCCCCGGCUUAACCUGGGAACUGCGUCUGAUACUGGGAGGCUUGAAUCCGGGAGAGGGAUGUGGAAUUCCAGGUGUAGCGGUGAAAUGCGUAGAUAUCUGGAGGAACACCGGUGGCGAAGGCGGCAUCCUGGACCGGUAUUGACGCUGAGGCGCGAAAGCUAGGGGAGCAAACGGG